GAUGAACGCUGGCGGCGUGCCUAAUACAUGCAAGUCGAGCGAACUUUUGGGAGCUUGCUCCCAAAAGUUAGCGGCGGACGGGUGAGUAACACGUGGGUAACCUGCCUGUAAGACUGGGAUAACUUCGGGAAACCGGAGCUAAUACCGGAUAACAUUGAAGCCCACAUGGCCUUCAAUUAAAAGGUGGCUUUUAGCUACCACUUACAGAUGGACCCGCGGCGCAUUAGCUAGUUGGUGAGGUAACGGCUCACCAAGGCGACGAUGCGUAGCCGACCUGAGAGGGUGAUCGGCCACACUGGGACUGAGACACGGCCCAGACUCCUACGGGAGGCAGCAGUAGGGAAUCUUCCGCAAUGGACGAAAGUCUGACGGAGCAACGCCGCGUGAGCGAAGAAGGCCUUCGGGUCGUAAAGCUCUGUUGUUAGGGAAGAACAAGUAUCGUUCGAAUAGGGCGGUACCUUGACGGUACCUAACAAGAAAGCCACGGCUAACUACGUG
rnacentral:rRNA from 1 species